rnacentral:rRNA from 1 species
GGCAACGACGGGUAGCUGGUCUGAGAGGAUGUCCAGCCACACUGGGACUGAGACACGGCCCAGACUCCUACGGGAGGCAGCAGUGGGGAAUCUUGCACAAUGGGCGAAAGCCUGAUGCAGCGACGCCGCGUGCGGGAUGAAGGCCCUCGGGUCGUAAACCGCUUUCAGCAGGGACGAUAGUGACGGUACCUGCAGAAGAAGCCCCGGCCAACUACGUGCCAGCAGCCGCGGUAAUACGUAGGGGGCAAGCGUUGUCCGGAUUUAUUGGGCGUAAAGAGCUCGUAGGCGGUUCGAUAAGUCGGGUGUGAAAUCUCCAGGCUCAACCUGGAGGCGCCACUCGAUACUGUCGUGACUUGAGUUCGGUAGAGGAGUAUGGAAUUCCCGGUGUAGCGGUGAAAUGCGCAGAUAUCGGGAGGAACACCCGUAGCGAAGGCGGUACUCUGGGCCGAAACUGACGCUGAGGAGCGAAAGCGUGGGGAGCGAACAGGAUUAGAUACCCUGGUAGUCCACGCCGUAAACGUUGGGCACUAGGUGUGGGGAUCUAUCGACGGUUUCCGUGCCGUAGCUAACGCAUUAAGUGCCCCGCCUGGGGAGUACGGCCGCAAGGCUAAAACUCAAAGGAAUUGACGGA